rnacentral:rRNA from 1 species
GAUGAACGCUGGCGGCGUGCCUAAUACAUGCAAGUCGAGCGAACGGACGAGAAGCUUGCUUUUCUGAUGUUAGCGGCGGACGGGUGAGUAACACGUGGAUAACCUACCUAUAAGACUGGGAUAACUUCGGGAAACCGGAGCUAAUACCGGAUAAUAUUUUGAACCGCAUGGUUCAUAAGUGAAAGACGGUCCUGCUGUCACUUAUAGAUGGAUCCGCGCUGCAUUAGCUAGUUGGUAAGGUAACGGCUUACCAAGGCAACGAUGCAUAGCCGACCUGAGAGGGUGAUCGGCCACACUGGAACUGAGACACGGUCCAGACUCCUACGGGAGGCAGCAGUAGGGAAUCUUCCGCAAUGGGCGAAAGCCUGACGGAGCAACGCCGCGUGAGCGAUGAAGGUCUUCGGAUCGUAAAACUCUGUUAUUAGGGAAGAACAUAUGUGUAAGUAACUGUGCACAUCUUGACGGUACCUAAUCAGAAAGCCACGGCUAACUACGUG